rnacentral:rRNA from 1 species
AACGAACGCUGGCGGCGUGUUUAAGACAUGCAAGUCGCACGGUGUCAUUUUGGUAGCAAUACUUGAAUGGCAUAGUGGCGCACGGGUGAGUAACACGUGAAUUACAUGCCCUGUAGAGGGGGAUAGCCCAGGGAAACUUGGAUUAGUACCCCAUGGUCUCGCAAGAGUAAAGGUGGCCGCAAGGCUGUCGCUACAGGAUUGGUUCGCGCCCUAUCAGCUUGUUGGCGGGGUAACGGCCCACCAAGGCUACGACGGGUACCUAGUCUGAGAGGACGAUCAGGCACACUGGAACGGAGACACGGUCCAGACACCUACGGGUGGCAGCAGACGAGAAUAAUUCACAAUGGGGGCAACCCUGAUGGUGCAACGCCGCGUGGAGGAUGACGGUCUUCGGAUUGUAAACUCCUGUCAUCCGGGAGUAAGACCUGGGAGUUAAUAGCUCACAGGGUUGAUAGUACCGGAAGAGGAAGGGACGGCUAACUUCAUGCCAGCCGCCGCGGUAACAC